AGGACGAACGCUGGCGGCGUGCUUAACACAUGCAAGUCGUACGAUGAUGCCGCAACUUGUUGUGGUGGAUUAGUGGCGAACGGGUGAGUAACACGUGAGUAACCUGCCUUUCACUCUGGGAUAAGCCUUGGAAACGAGGUCUAAUACUGGAUAUGACUCCUUGCCGCAUGGUGGGGGUGGAAAGCCUUCGGGUGGUGGAUGAUGGACUCGCGGACUAUCAGCUUGUUGGUGGGGUUGUGGCCUACCAAGGCUUUGACGGUUAGCCGGCCUGAGAGGGUGAUCGGCCACAUUGGGACUGAGAUACGGCCCAGACUCCUACGGGAGGCAGCAGUGGGGAAUAUUGCACAAUGGGCGAAAGCCUGAUGCAGCGACGCCGCGUGGGGGAUGAAGGCCUUCGGGUUGUAACUCCUUUCGCUCGUGACGAAGCCUUUCGGGUGACGGUAGCGGGAGAAGAAGCACCGGCUAACUACGUGCCAGCAGCCGCGGU
rnacentral:rRNA from 1 species